CAAUUCUGUUUCCAAUUUUGAUUUUUCCACCUGGAAACCAACUUUUUUGUCCAGAUUGUAUGCCUCCAUUAUUUGGUAAUAAUGGAGCCAAUCUCGUACUGUACUCUGUUUUUCAAUUUUUCAAAGCUCUGCAAUUUUAAUCUGUCUCCAUCUUGUUCCAGAAUUUCCCAAUAUUUUGGCCAUUUGGCCUCCAUAUUGAGUUUUUUCUGUGCCUUCGCUUCCAUUGGUGACAACCAUCUUGGGGUUUUCUUUUCUAACAAAUCCUUAUAUCUUAUCCAGACAUUAAACAAUGUUUUUCUAACAAUAUGAUUUUUUAACGCUUUAUGUACUUUUACUUUAUCGUACCACAAGUAUGCAUGCCAACCGAAUACAUUAUUGAAACCUUCUAGAUCCAACACGUCAGUAUUUUCAAGAAGCAGCCAUUCUCUUAGCCAGCAAAAAGCAGCUGAUUCAUAAUAAAGUUUAAGGUCUGGCAGGGCAAAUCCACCUCUUUCUUUAGCAUCAGUUAGUAUCUUAGAUUUUAUUCGAGGCUUCUUGCCCUGCCAGACAAAUCUAGAGAUAUCUUUCUGCCACUUCUUGAAACAGUCCAUCUUAUCCAAAAUUUGCAAUGUUUGAAACAAAAACAACAUCCUUGGCAGCACAUUCAUUUUUAUCACAGCAAUUCAGCCUAACAAUGAUAACUUCAAAUUUGUCCAUAUUUUAGAUCCUUUUUCACUUCAAUCCAACAUUUUUCAUAAUUAUCCUUAAAUAAAUUCACAUUUUUAGCCGUCAUGUUAACCCCAAAAUAUUUCACUUUCUUAACCAAUGUUAGUCUUGUCUUCUCCUGAAACUUCUAUCUCUCAGAUCCCCUUGUAAAUCUAAAGUACUGGCCUCACCACAUCCUGCAGUAAAAAAAAUUCCCCAAGUUAAUUACACAUUGUGUGAAGGUAAGUGUGUGAAGCUACAGCAUUCCUACUAUCAGCUUAAGUGACACAUUCACUCUCACUCUCACUCUCUCUCUCUCUCUCUCUCACACACACACAGAGAGAGAGAGAGAGAGAGUAGAGCCCCUCUGAGCCAAAGGCCCAAAGGCAGAAAGCCCAGCUAGCAGUCAAACAAAGCCUCAAGCGUUGGUUCCCACAGCGCAGCAACCCGGCAAAGGGAUACAGCAGCAAGGAAAACCACACUGUCACCUCUCCGCUGGGAAGCACUGAAGCAAAGGUGAGUCCCCAGGCAACGGCACUGGAAAAAGGGAGUUUCCCGCCAAAUAAAGGAAGGUUGACAGCUAUGUUGAUAUGCUUUAUCAAUUAAUUUACAUGAAAGCAUUCUCUUGAGUGAUGCAUAUAGUAAAACAUACUAUUUAUAAAUUUAUAUAAUAUCUAAACAGGCAAAAAAUAUGUGUUGUCAUCUGAGACAUGAAUAUUCCAAAUGGACUUUCCUGCCAGUUAAAAUGGUGUUAGGAAGGCAUGCCCUGCAUUGCCCCCUGUAAGCUUCUCCUUUACAAUCUUCCAGUGGCUGGGUGCAUGGCAGCAGCUUGAUACGUACACAAUACAGACAUAACACCUGGGCACAAAAUCUAUUUAUUCCCUGGUGCUCUCUGGGGAUGAUACACUGAAUGAAGAAAAAUAACACAGCAGAAGCUUCAAUGUGUUUAAGCCUCUGGCUGACACAAUGUAAUAGAGGAAUGAAGGCUUGAGUUGAGGACACUUCAUUGAUCAAGGACUAACUCUGGCAGCCCACUGUAGGCAGUCACCCAGAAAAAAUUCCUAAAACACAAGAAAGAUGAUGACAUUAAACAGGUUGUACUUGUUAACAUGCAAAAGAAACUGAAACUCAGAGGUGGACAAGACAAUCAGGACAUUAAAAUGGAGUACCAUAUAUAGGGAAAAGUUAGAGCUGGGAGGCUAAGGAAAACUGAACUGUUUCCAGUAAGAAGGGCUUUUAAAACAUCUUAUCGUUUUUCAUUGUUUCCCAGCGCCAUCCCUCUGGAAGGUUGUGGAUUGAUUCCUGUAAACAAAGCCAGUCUAUAUUUGUAAUACAAGCAGCAUAGUUCCUUCCCUGAUCAACCCUUUCUCAUUAAACUCAGAAGCGUUAACAUCAAACUGAACAUGUAUAUAGUCUAUAUUAAAAUUUUGCUUUGAAAAAUUUGAUCUAAACCUGAACUGACAAUAUCUGAGCGGAAAUAUCAUACUUCCAGCAUUUUAAAAGUUAGUGUACAGGUAAAGGUAUCAUCUCAUUAGCUUUCAUCUUAUUAUUCAUUUAUUUAGAGGAUUUGCACUCACACUUGAGCAUAAAAAUUCUCAGAGCAUCUUACAUAAAAUCAAUUAAAACAAGACUUUCUCUGCUUGCAGCUACAUAAUCUUCAUUAUUACACUUUUUAUUCUGCUGUUUUUCUAAGGAGCUUUAACUGGUGUUCACAACUGAUUGGCACUGACAGCGUACUUUCAAAGGGGCUACUCAUGCACGCAUCAGCUGAUUGGUGCCAAGAGGAGACAGUGUGAAAUUGUUAACUGAUGUCAUAAUGACAUUAUGUGAAUGGCAGGUAAGUGGUCCUGCCCAUGUGACAAUGUUGACCCAAUGGUGGUAGGGAAGCUAAGGGUUUGGUCUCACUCUUGUUGUUAAACAUCCUUUCCAUUGGGUGAUGUCUGGGGCUACUGGGCCUGGCCUGCUCCUAGGCAGCUACUGUGAUUCGUCCUGUCAGUACUAAAUUUGGCUCCAUAACAGUUGGCUCUGCAGGGGCCUGUCCCAGGAGGCCAGGGAGCAUGUCCACCCAUGGAGCAAGCACACAUGGAAGGGUUGUCUCUUGCUUGUUAGCAAGAGGGGGGGGUGAAAUGGUGGACAUUACACAAAAGUGAUGGGUUCCACAAAACAAAAUACCUGAAUGGUCAAAGCCCAGGGUAAAUUAUUACUCUUGUUGUUGCUGUUUGUUUAUCACAUUUCUAUUCUGCCCUUCAACUGAAAAUCACAGAGUGGUUCACAAUAUAAAAAUACAAAAUGAAAAUUCAGAAUACAUAAUAAAGCAAAACAAAUCAAUAACCCCCUCCCACAGAAACAUUUAAAAGGCCAUAGAACAGGCAUAGGCAAACUCCGGCCCUCCAGAUGUUUUGAGACUACCAUUCGCAUCAUCCCUGACCACUGGUCCUGUUAGCUAGGGAUGAUGGGAAUUGUAGUUACAAAACAUCUGGAGGGCCGGAGUUUGCCUAUGCCUGCCAUAGAAUGUUAAUCAACCCAAUGCCUGGUUGAAGAGAAACAUUUUCACCUGGUGCCUAAAGAUAUGUAAUGAAAAUGCCAGGCAAGCUCCCUUUGGGAGAACAUUCCACAAGCGGGGAGCCAACACAGAAAAGGCCACUUCUUUUGUUGCCACCCUCUGGACCUCUUGUGGAGGAGGCACCCAAAGAAAGGCCUCAGAUGAUUAUUGCAGGGUGUGGGUUGGUGUGUCUUCUGAUAACCAUCAGAGAGAGAAUGGGCUCAUAAAGGAUGAGACUGGACCAGAAAAGGGAAGAAAAGGAUGGAAACUAGGGAGCUAUCUUCCCUCCCCCACAAAGAGAAAGAGGUAAUGGAGUUGGGACAAUGGAGAUCUCUACCUCUCCUCUCAGAAUUGGUCCCCUCCAACCAAGAUCAGCGCCCCCUCAAAAUCUCACUGAAAGGGGUUUUGCUCCUAUAUCUGAGAGACUAGCAGUGCUGCUUCUCAUACACUUCUUUCAUUUUUAGAAGUCCACAUUUUUAGAACCCACAGAUUUAAAUAAAAAAACUCUUAUUUUCAAUUCACCACAUGCUAAGCUGCUGUAUGAAAGGGUGAACUCUGUCCAUGACUAAACAACCCAAUAUUUUAAUCAUACUCAAAAACCUUAAAAUAUUCUAUUGCUGAGAAGAGGGUGAUUUUUAAAAUAAUUUUAUUUAUUGGGAAGUUAAAAUAUCCUAUAUAGAGCUAUUAACGGGUACAUAGCAAAUACCCCAUCUGACAUUGCAGAAUUAUUGUUAGGUAGGUUAUUAAUUUCUUCACAGGAAGGCAGAAAUGAUGAACACGUUUAUUCUCUUCCUUUAUAUAAAAAAAACUAACAAAAAUGAUGCUCUCAGCUCACUAAAACAUUCAUAGCAAGGAACAAAUGAAUCGAUAGCAAAUAUUAAAAGUUUUAUUCCUAUGAAUUUGUUAUAGCAAUUUAUUGAAUGUUUGACAGCUCCAUAGUUGAAGUCACACAUAUUUUAUUUAAAUAAUAAAUAAUGGCUGUCAGUGCAUCUUGUGUAAGGAAAGAGAGAGUAGCUUGAGAAAUGUUAUACCUUUCCUCUUCCUUCACCUCUACUUGAAAAUCUAACCCACCAAACCAAUAACACAAAGGGAGCACUGAAAAUUAACCUUUGUUUCCAAUACAUUAAUUGCUGCAUUAAGGCAACUCUCCAAUCCUAAACACAUUUACUUGUAAGUGAGGUCCAUUGAUUUCAGCAAAAUUUACUUCUGAGUAUAAGUAAUUUAAGUAUUCCAACUUGACUAGCGUAUGAAUAAAUCAGGAAACCUGCUGAGCAAAUUUCUGAGCAAAAGCGCUAAAGGCAACACAAGUGGGAGGAACAAUAGAUGAAAGUGUUCUUGACAGAAUGAGUAUUAUACAGAACAGAAAAAGGGAAGUGAAUUAAAUUGUGCUGGGCACAUUCCAACCAACCAAGGUUAAGCACUGCUAACAAUGGGUUAAGUCCCAUUGAUUUUAGUGGAAGAGAGUUAAGUGUGUGCCACACGCAAAAGCUCCAUAAGCCUCAAUGCCACCACGUGCCAAAAAUGAAGACUUGAGAUAGGAACUGGGUGUAGAAUAGAGGGGUGAUCAUUCAGUAGCAGGGAACAUGUUUUGCUUGCCAAAGACCCCAGAUUCAAUCUCUCUAGUUGAAAAGAUCACAAAGCAGACACACAGGUCUGUACUGUACUGCCACACAGGUCAGAGCCACAGCAUAGAUGUAAUGCACAUUUAAAGCAUGACACUUCCCCACAAAGAAUCAAUGGAACUGCAGUUUAAGGGUGCUGGGAGUUGUAGCUCUGUGAGGGGUAAACUAGAGUUUUCUUUGGGGGAAAUCGUGCUUGAAAUGUGCACUGAAUGUGCUUUAAAUGUAUGGUGUGGAUCUGCUUGCACAGUGGACAGUAUUGAGCUAGAUGGUCUUAUAGUCUAACUUGAUACAAGGCAAUCGUCCAAACAUCUCUUGAGUUUACCACAAAUAACCAAGACAUCAUUGGGACAAAGUUUUCUUUUUCUUUUUGAGCAGGAGACCUAGCAGGAGACCUGCAAAAGAACUCGCGUUCACACUGUAUCUGGAAAAGGCUGCUGUCGGAAAUGCUGAAGAACUUCUGCUUUGACAGCACUGAGCUAGAUGAAUCAAUGGCAUGAGUUGGUAGGAGGAUUAUUAAUUUACAUAUCUAAUCUACAAUGAUUCUUAGAUGAAGCCAAGCUGCCCAACACACUGCUGAUAUGCUUGUUACCAAUUUAUUUAUUGUUUUUACUGGGUGUGGUUGACCAGAAGCAGAUCCUGGAAAACAUCCUGACUUUUAUUUCCAGUCAUGAAGCUUUAAAGAUCAGACAUUGGUGAACAUUCUUCCCGUGCUGUACAUGAUAGGGUCAUACAAAUGUGCCAUUUAUUUUCUCUCAUUGGUUUUCUAUGAAUAGCUACUUAACAUGUAAUGGAAAAAAUGUGGAAACUUGAAUUUGUCAUACUACAAAUAAGAAAUAGCUGGAGAAAAGCUGGUCUGUCAUUUGCUUAUUGCAUGUACUUAAUUACUUUAGUGUGAGGUUGGGAGUUGUAUACAAGGAACCUGCUGAGUACACACUCUUAAAUAUCAUAUUUUGAAGUCCUGCAUUGAGUAUUUUAAAAACUCUAGUCGCUUAUUGAAAUGUAGGCUAAUUUUAUGCAUGCAUUUGGGGAAUGAUAAAUGAUAAUGACUUUUGUCCUCCUGCUUCCAAUCACUGACAUCUGCAUCUGGGAAAUACCAUGCAACAAAUAAAAAGCAGAAUAUAUCCAGUCAAAA